rnacentral:misc_RNA from 1 species
AAAGAAAUGCAUAAUAAUCGAACAAAGACAUCUUCCAAAGAAGAAUAAUAAAAUCCAUUAAGAUUUGAUCCCGUACAGACCGAUCGAAGUCCUAUCAAAGUCAAGACCAUAAAAAACUUGUCUCACUGUUGUUCUUGUGCAGUAACGCUAUUAGAGAAUGGCAUAAGAGAAUUGAACUCAUCUUUUAGUGUUUUAUUUGCCCUAAAUAAUUAGCCAUAUCUUGUUGAUUUUGUUGGAGAUGGAUAAUAUUUGAGACGACUUUAUAUAUACGUUGUAGGUCAUUAGUGUAUAAAAGUCUUAGCCUUAGUCCAAACCUUAUAACAUGUUUUACAGGAUUGAAAUAAGGUGAGUAAUUUAGGGUCCAAAGAAUGCCAUAAACAACUACAUAACCUGUGCAUCAAUUUUGUUCCAAAUGGUUCUAUUAAUUGUAACAAUUUCACUAGCAUUCUUAACUAAAUGAUCAUCAUAGCCUUGUCCCAUAAACGACAAUUCUACUGAGAUUGACCAUGAUAUAUAAUUAUUAUUACCUUGCAGUUCAAUGAUAGUAAUUGUUAGAGAAUUAGAAAAAGGAGAGAAAAUUGUCUUAGAGUCGCCUGUAUUGGAGGAGCUGCUCUUUUUA